rnacentral:rRNA from 2 species
CAGCAGUAGGGAUCUUCCACAAUGGACGAAAGUCUGAUGGAGCAACGCCGCGUGAGUGAAGAAGGGUUUCGGCUCGUAAAACUCUGUUGUUAAAGAAGAACAUAUCUGAGAGUAACUGUUCAGGUAUUGACGGUAUUUAACCAGAAAGCCACGGCUAACUACGUGCCAGCAGCCGCGGUAAUACGUAGGUGGCAAGCGUUGUCCGGAUUUAUUGGGCGUAAAGCGAGCGCAGGCGGUUUUUUAAGUCUGAUGUGAAAGCCUUCGGCUCAACCGAAGAAGUGCAUCGGAAACUGGGAAACUUGAGUGCAGAAGAGGACAGUGGAACUCCAUGUGUAGCGGUGAAAUGCGUAGAUAUAUGGAAGAACACCAGUGGCGAAGGCGGCUGUCUGGUCUGUAACUGACGCUGAGGCUCGAAAGUAUGGGUAGCAAACAGGAUUAGAUACCCUGGUAGUCCAUACCGUAAACGAUGAAUGCUAAGUGUUGGAGGGUUUCCGCCCUUCAGUGCUGCAGCUAACGCAUUAAGCAUUCCGCCUGGGGAGUACGGCCGCAAGGCUGAAACUCAAAGGAAUUGACGGGGGCCCGCACAAGCGGUGGAGCAUGUGGUUUAAUUCGAAGCUACGCGAAGAACCUUACCAGGUCUUGACAUACUAUGCAAAUCUAAGAGAUUAGACGUUCCCUUCGGGGACAUGGAUACAUGCG